GCUCCAGGGCGUGCAAGCGUUUGUCCUCGGUUUUUCGCUUCAAGGGAGGUAACUGCCCAAAUUCAAGAUGGCCGCUAUCGAACAUCGCCCUUUGGUUGGAAAGUUUUGCGGUGGCGCUACGUAGGCGCAAUGUUUACCCACUGAGAGUCCGGAUCCCUGAGCCGCCCGCGGAGGACUCCCCCUAUCCAUCCUGGAUCUAUUCUCUGUUUCCUCCAAGGGGAAGCCUAGCGCCCCGCGGCAUCACUCAACUGUCUUCUGCUCCUUACCUGCUGUGGGCCCCCCCACGGCCCACCUCACCCUCAACCUGGAGACCCAGGCCGACCCUUCUGCUCACGCAGGUCUCUUCUUGUAGGGGCUUCACUGCCCGGGCCCUUGACCUAGCAAUAGAUAUUGUCAGGAAACUCAAAUAGAACUUUUCUCUCCUCUUCCACCUGUUUAGGGGACAGGAUUCUCUCAGUCUCAGAUCCAUGUUUUUGCUUACUACCCGAGGGAGAAAAGCAGCUGAAAUACACAACUAGGUGUAUUCUCAGUGACCAAUGUGCAGGGUGUGCCCAGAUGAACCCCAAUGUCUCCAAGAAAAAAAGUGGCUUUGCAUAUUAAACAAAUCUCUCUUAACA